AACGAACGCUGGCGGCAUGCCUAACACAUGCAAGUCGAACGAGACCUCCGGGCCUAGUGGCGCACGGGUGCGUAACGCGUGGGAACCUGCCCUUAGGUUCGGAAUAACUCCCUGAAAGGGGUGCUAAUACCGGAUAAUGUCUUCGGACCAAAGAUUUAUUGCCUUUGGAUGGGCCCGCGUUGGAUUAGCUAGUUGGUAGGGUAAAAGCCUACCAAGGCGACGAUCCAUAGCUGGUCUGAGAGGAUGAUCAGCCACACUGGGACUGAGACACGGCCCAGACUCCUACGGGAGGCAGCAGUGGGGAAUAUUGGACAAGGGGCGAAAGCCUGAUCCAGCAAUGCCGCGUGAGUGAUGAAGGCCUUAGGGUUGUAAAGCGCUUUUACCCGGGAUGAUAAUGACAGUACCGGGAGAAUAAGCUCCGGCUAACUCCGU
rnacentral:rRNA from 1 species